UGAGGAAUAUUGGGCAAUGCCCGCAAGGGUGACCCAGCAACGCCGCGUGGAGGAUGAAUGUCGUAAGAUUGUAAACUCCUGUUAGAGGGGAAGAAUAGUACCGGUUGGACCGGUAUAUGACUGUACCCUCAGAGAAAGCCCCGGCUAACUACGUGCCAGCAGCCGCGGUAAUACGUAGGGGGCAAGCGUUGUCCGGAUUUACUGGGUGUAAAGGGCGCGCAGGCGGGAUAAAAAGUCAGUGGUGAAAUCCUACAGCUUAACCGUAGAACUGCCUUUGAUACUUUUAUUCUUGAGUUCGGGAGAGAGAGACGGAAUUCCAGGUGUAGUGGUGAAAUACGUAGAUAUCUGGAAGAACACCAGUUGCGAAGGCGGUCUCUUGGUCCGACACUGACGCUGAGGCGCGAAAGCGUGGGGAGCAAACA
rnacentral:rRNA from 1 species